UCUCUCCCCCUCCUCUCCUUCACCAGUUUCACUGCACGUUCGGGGGGUCAAAUUGCCAGUACCCUCCCAUUACAUAAGCACCCAGGUAUUCCACGUAUUUUGCAUGAUAUUUGACCUUGGCGCUACCGGAACAUCAACUGUAGUCUGCCCCGAUGUGGUGCAGGGUUUGAAGUUUCGCAUGGAGGAAAAUUUGACGUAGUCGAGUUGGACUGUUGGAGGACGGCGAUGAGUCUGGCACCUGGGUGUGGAACCGACCUGGAGGUUCACAGGGUGUGAAGCGCAAGCAAAUCGAUAACAUCAUGACCCUUCCAUCACGAAGUCGCCAAACAAGGAAUCAGCGUUCUAGGUGUGCCACCAAUAAAACAAUCCAGUCCGAGUCGUCAACUUUCUGGAACGAGAAGGCAAGAUACACGAAAAUCGCAAUCAUAUCUCAUUUGGCCAUAAUACUUCAUGGGCGAGGGGGGGGGGGGGGUGAGAGCUGAUGAUACUUGUUUUCAUGGCUGAUCAUUCAAUACCCGAAAUGAGUUCAUCACAGCGAGUGAGGUUUACUAAUCAGUUUUGAUAAUGGUCAGAAAGUGAAUACGCAAAUCUCAGAAGCGCUCAGCAAGCGUAUGUAAACACCACUGCGUUCAGAAAUAGCACGUGAUCUAAGUCCUCGCGACGCUUGGGUUGGAGUUUGGAGCUUGCGAGCAGUCAUGAGUAAGCAAGCAGGGGGAGGAGUGCAGGAGCGUCUGCGGUCGAUUGUAGGACCUAAAGGGUGGGACUACGCUGUCUUUUGGCAGCUCCGCGACGAGACAAGGACCCUCGAUUGGAUAGGAUGCUGUUGCAGCGGGGCCGAGGCUCCAGGGAACGAUCACUUGGGUGCAUCCAGCAGCACUCGCUACCUAGAGUCCUCAACUGGCUGCCCGGAUGUGAGGGGCUUUCACCCUGCCACACACAUCUGCUCACUACUUGCAGCCAUGCCAUCUUCGGUAUCAUUGGAUUCAGGGAUUCAAGGAAGGGUGUUCCUUGGAGGCCAACCGAAGUGGGUACAUGGAGACUCGUCCAUGGAGGGGCAGGAAUUGACAGUACAAACUAAAGUGUGCAUACCCGUCCAAAGCGGCCUUGUGGAGCUUGGGGUUGCAAAUCAUGUGACCGAGAACGCAGCUCUUGUGAAUUAUGUAAGGAAUCGGUGCGGAGAGCAGUGGCAAGCAGGAACUGUAUCGAAGCAAGGGGGCAGUGGCAACACCACCCUUGGAACGAUGGGCCAGCAAGCAGUCAAAAUGUAUUACACACGCCAUUUUGCUAAUAACUUGGAUAGCUCCUGGCCAAGCUCACACCCAUGGGAGCAAGAAGACCCCACCUUGGAGUCCCAGCUCAUGGGAAGCAUGGACCAGGAUCUGAUGAAUCAAUUACCCAGUUCAACGACACAUUUUCCGCAUCAUGGCACAUUGACUGAUUCCCCACGAGGAAGUGGGUUGUCAAAGGAUGAUGGGGAAGUGAAGCAGGAAAUGCGAGGAGAGUCAUCUGAUUGCAGUGAUCCAAUAGACGAUGAUGAUGAGAAGGGAGGCACCCGGUCUACUCGCCGUCACUUGUCAAAAAACUUGGUUGCUGAACGCAAGCGCCGGAAGAAGCUGAAUGAACGCCUUUACUCUUUGCGAGCUCUUGUUCCUAAGAUCACCAAGAUGGACCGUGCAUCAAUACUGGGCGAUGCGAUUGAGUACGUCAAGGAGCUACAACAACAGGUGAAGGAGCUACAUGAGGAGCUUGUGGAUAACAAAGAUAAUGACAUGACUGGGACACUGGGUUUUGAUGAGGAGCCAGUCACUGCAGACCAAGAACCAAAGCUUGGGUGUGGGAUUGUCAUAGGGCGAUCGUGUCCUAAGGUGGACUCGCAGUCCGUCGUAAUUGAGGUUGUUGACAGAAAAGGAGAUCAUGAGCUCACACAGCCUAUGCAAGUGGAGGUGAACAAGAUGGACGGUCGUCUGUUCAGCCUUCGGAUUUUUUGUGAGAAGCGGCCUGGAGUGUUCGUGAAACUGAUGCAAGCUCUUGACGUGCUUGGUCUCAACGUUGUUCACGCUAACAUAACCACAUUCCGUGGUUUGGUCCUCAAUAUCUUCAACGCCGAGGUAAGAGACAAGGAGCUCAUUGGCGUCGAACAAAUGCGCGACACUCUGUUAGAGAUGGCAACGCUGCAGUCGGGCCAUCGACCGCUACCGCUCCCUCCUUCAGACGGAACCAGCUUGCAAACAUCUAUAAUGAGCGGAGACCAAAGACUGGAGAAAGUGACCCACUUAGGACCACUCCCAUAGACAUUGCAAUUUAUAUAUAUAUAUAUAUAUAUAUGUAUUUCUGAAAAGGAUGUGAUUUCUCGAUCGGGCUAUCUGUCCUUGAAGCGAGAAUUUGGAACAAUAAAUUUGUUUGAUAAAUGCCUUGUAGAGGGUAACUCAGGUCUUCGAAUAUACUCAAAAUUUGGGUAGAGAUCUCCUCAAUUCAAGGUGAAUGAUGGGGUAACCUGAAUGAGUAAUCAUUCCGCCGCUCUGCCACGUCCCCUGUCAUCAGUUCACGUCAUCGUCAUCGUCGUUGUCUAGGGCCGUGGAUUCGUGGACUGCGAACUUUCUUUCCCAUGUGACCAAACUCAUGCGCAAUUCUGGGUGCACUGAGGGGUGCCUUCCAUGAGUUGUUGAUGUGGUCGAGGUGGCAAAUAUCGAGUGUGUCGUAACUUUUUGAGUGUCAGAAUGUUGCAAUGAGGCUAAAGUCUUGAGUCUAGAAUUCGAAGAAUCAACUUUGCUGAUUCAAGAGCUAGGUUCUCUGCAAACUACGUAAUUAGCUGGAGAGUGACUUUCUUGACUGAAGAUCAUAUUUUCGGAUCUUACAGGUAUAGUCAAGUUUGAGGCUGUUAAAAUAGAUUCUAGUGAAGUUAGUUGCUUAGUUGGUAUAAGCUAACGCGCUGAAGCCUAGUGCUCAAUAUAAAGGUUACGAAGUGGAAGGGCGUGCAGAGUUCAGGGAGUAAAACUUUCGAGGAGACUCGAACACUGAGCAACGACCCAACGAUCCUGAAAUUACUUACCCUGAUUC